ensembl:snRNA U1 U1 spliceosomal RNA
AUACUUAACUGGAAGGGGAGAUACCAUGAUCACAAAGGUGGCUUUCCCAGGGUGAGGCUCAUCCAUUGCACUCCGGGUGUGAUGACUUCUGCGAUUUCCCCAAAUGUGGGAAACUCGACCGCACAGUUUGUGGUAGUGGAAGGCUGCGUUUGUGCUUUUCCCCU